AUGAAGCAAGAGAUUGAGAGAUUGAGGCUAUGGCAGAAAGUCAUGGAGGAGCAGCGACCAAGACUGGCCUGGAACAACAAACCUAUUGAGACAGGAAGAGAGAGGGAAAAAGAGAGAGAAAGGGAGAUGGAAAGUGAGAGAAAAGCAGAAUUGGAAAAACAAGAAAUGAAGAAGAAAGUGGAACAGGCAGAAGAAACGAUAAAAGCGUUAGAACGAGAGAUUGAGAGAUUGAAAGAGAUUGAGAAGGAAAUCAUAUUUGAAAGAGAAAGAGACAUGCGUAUUGCAGAGAAUGAGAAAGUCAAACUGGUCAACGAAAAGGUAAAAGAGUUGGAGAGAGAGGUUGAGAGACUGAAAGAAGAUAUGACAACAAAAGAGAUUCAAUACAAAAUCAAAUUUGAAAGAGCGAAAGAAGCGUUUAGAAGACAGAAUGAGAGAGUGAAACAGGUUAACCAAAAUGUACUAGUGUUAGACAGAGAGGUUGUGAGAAUGAAAGAAGAGAUUAGAUUGAAAGACGAGACUGAACCAGAGAGAACAUUUGAUAGAGACAGAGAGAGAGAAAAUGAUUGGAGACGAAGUGAAGAGGAGUUGAAAAAUAGAGUGGAGAGAGAGAUGGAGAUGGAGACAGCCCUCAUCAAUGACAAAAAUACGUCUGAAUUGGAGGAAGUCUUCAAGAAAAUCAAGGAACAGCAGAUAGAAUUAGAAAAUAUGGAAACAGACAAAUAUAAAUGGAAACAGAACCAAAUGGACAUGGAGGAGAAGAUGGAGGGUGAGCACAACAAACAGAAAGAGGUAGAAAGAAAGAGAAUGGAGAAAAUACCAAAACAGAGACAAGAAGAAGAUGAGAAGAAGAAGGAGAUGGAGAGAGAAGAAGAAGAGGAGAGACGCAAACAGAAGCACAUAGAGAUGGAAGAGGAAGAAAGAGAGAGGGAGAAAGAGAGACAGAGACAGAUCAAAAGGAAGAGAAUGGAGAAGAGACAGAAAAUUAUGGAAAGAGAAGAAGAGAGACAGAGAGAGAUUGAAAGAGANNNNNNNNNNGAAGAAGAAAGAUGUAAACAGAAGCAAAUAGAGAUGGAAGAGGAAGAAAGAGAGAGGGAGAAAGAGAGACAGAGAGAGAUCAAAAGAAAGAUAAUGGAAAAGAGACAAAAACAUAUCGAAAGAGAAGAAGAGAGACAGAAAGAGAUUGAAAGAGAGCACGAAGAAGAAAGAUGUAAACAGAAGAAAAUAGAGAUGGAAGAGAAAGAAAGAGAAGAAGAGAGACAGAGAGAGAUUGAAAGAGAGCACGAAGAAGAAAGAUGUAAACAAAAGCAAAUAGAGAUGGAAGAGGAAGAACGAGAGAGGGAGAAGAGACAGAGAGAGAUCAAAAGAAAGAUAAUGGAAAAGAGACAAAAACAUAUCGAAAGAAAAGAAGAGAGACAGAAAGAGAUUGAAAGAGAGAAUGAAGAACAACUAUUUAAACAGAAGCAAAUAGAGAUGGAAGAGGAAGAAAGAGAAGAAGAGAGACAGAGAGAGAUCAAAAGAGAGAAUGAUGAAGAAAUAUGUAAACAGAAGCAAAUAGAGAUGGAAGAGAAAGAAAGAGAAGAAGAGAGACAGAGAGCGAUCGAAGAGAAAGAGAGACAGAGAGAGAUGGGAGAGAAAGAAAGACGACAACAACAAGAGGAGAGAAAGAUAAUGUUUGAGAGAGAUCAAGAAGAAGAAAAUAUAUGGAAACAGAAGCAAAUUGACAUGGAGAAGGAGGGAAGAGAGAGGGAGAACAAGAGACAGAGAGAGAUAGAAGAGAUACACAGACGACAACAACAAGAGGAGAGACAGAAACAAAUGGAGAAGGAGAAAGACAAUGACAAUCAGAGAGAGAUGGAAUUAAAAGAUCAGCAACAGAAAGAGAUGGAGAAAGAAAAGAUGAUUAUGAGAGAAAGGGAGGAAGCAGGAAGAAGAAAGGAAGGGCAGAAAAAUAUUUUGGGGGAAAUUGAGGGACAGAAUGAACUGGAGAUAGAACAGGAGAGAGAGAUGGAAGAAAAGCAGGAAGUGAUUAAGGAAGCAGAGGAAGAGUACAGGGAAAGAGAAGAGAGAGGAAAGGAAGUAAGCAUGAAGAAACAUGUAGUAGUUAAUGUUAAAGCAAAAGCACGGGAAGUCUUCAAUAGGCGUAAAGAGAGGAGGUUAGAAGUGUUGAAGGGGGAGCGAGAACACAUAGAAAGAGGACAACAAAUCAGGAGGGAGAAGGAGGAAAGACGGCUGGAGAUGGAAAGAAAACAGGAGAGGGCAAGACAACAAGAGGAGCAGGAUAAAAAACGAGAGAUUGAAAUUGCUAGACAGAAAGAAAUGUUGAGACUAAGAGAGGAGGAGAGGCAGAGAGAGGAAGAGAGAGAGGAGGAGAGAAAGAAAGCCAUUAAAUGCCUUUUAUCUUUAAUCAGAGAGAGAGAAGAAAUAAUACAGGCAAAAAAAAGAGAGGAGAUGGUGGAAGAGGAAAGAAGGGAGAUCCUUGAGUACAAGAGGGGUGAGUUAGAGGAGGAGGAGAAGGAAGAUGACAAGGAGGACAUUCUCCCACUUGAUAAAAGUAUCCGAAGGAGAGCUGUGGGCUGGGUAAACAAGAAGUGGGAGAAGAGGAACAUCAGAAAGAUAGAGAGAACGUAUCAGAGAGAGGCUGAGGAGGGCCAUAAGAUCGUCCACAUAGCCAUCCCUGGACACACAAGGCUAACAUCCACCAUGACCCGGGCAGAGAGAGAGAGGGAGAAGAGGAAGGAGCUGCUGAAGGCUGAGGAGAGAAGGAAGAAGAUGGAGGAUUUCAAUAAGCAGUGGAGAGAGCGGUCCCUGCUUAAAAAACAGACUCAUCAACAACUGAAGGAGGAGAGGGAGAGGAUGAAGGAAAACUACCUGGAGCAGAUGAAUCUGGAGGCUGAUGCUCAAAUCAACACCCGGUGUCUAACCACCCAACACAGCCACGAUUACAACCACGGUCAGGAGUUGCCCGGGUGGGCCAAUGGCCAACAAGUAAGCCAAGAGCCAACUGGAUCUGCUGAUGGCCACCAGGAAAGGCCAAGGAGGCAACAGGCAUGGGCAGAGAACCAGGAGGGGAGUUCAGAGAACCAGCAGGAGGGGCCAGAGAACCAUCAGGGGGGGCCAGACAGCCAGCAGCUAGAAGCUCCAGAAGAGGUUGAAAAAUCAGAGCGAAUCUCCAAGACAAAGAAAAAGCCAAGCAUCUGGAAGAAAAUUAGGAUGAGUCGACAAGUGAUGAGCCAGAUCAACCAAUCAACGUCACUGCAGCUGUUCUACCCACCACCCCCACUGCUCUUCCUCCACCACCAACCUCAUCCUCUUCUCCUGUUCAAUUCAUUUGCCGCCACACUAGAAAGGACUGGACAUACAGUUGAAGUCGCAAGUUUACAUACACUUAGGUUGGAGUCAUUAAAACUCAUUUUUCAACCACUCCACACAUUUCUUGUUAACAAACUAUAGUUUUGGCAAGUCGUUUAGGACAUCUACUUUGUUCAUGAAACAAGUUAUUUUUCCCCAAAAAGUGUACCGACAGAUUAUUUCACUUAUGAUUAACUGUAUCACAAUUUCAGUGGGUCAGAAGUUUACAUAAACUAAGUUGAAUGUGUAUUUAAACAGCUUGGAAAAUUCCAGAAAAUUAUGUCAUGGCUUUAGAAGCUUCUGAUAGGCUAAUUGACAUAAUUUGAGGCAAU
rnacentral:lncRNA from 13 species